AUGCACGCUGGCGGCGUGCCUCAUCCCUGCCAGUCGAGCGAACGGACGAGAAGCUUGCUUCUCUGAUGUUAGCGGCGGACGGGUGAGUAACACGUGGAUAACCUACCUAUAAGACUGGGAUAACUUCGGGAAACCGGAGCUAAUACCGGAUGAUAUUUUGAACCGCAUGGUUCAAAAGUGAAAGACGGUCUUGCUGUCACUUAUAGAUGGAUCCGCGCUGCAUUAGCUAGUUGGUAAGGUAACGGCUUACCAAGGCAACGAUGCAUAGCCGACCUGAGAGGGUGAUCGGCCACACUGGAACUGAGACACGGUCCAGACUCCUACGGGAGGCAGCAGUAGGGAAUCUUCCGCAAUGGGCGAAAGCCUGACGGAGCAACGCCGCGUGAGUGAUGAAGGUCUUCGGAUCGUAAAACUCUGUUAUUAGGGAAGAACAUAUGUGUAAGUAACUGUGCACAUCUUGACGGUACCUAAUCAGAAAGCCACGGCUAACUACGUG
rnacentral:rRNA from 1 species